GCUUGUCUCAAAGAUUAAGCCAUGCAUGUCUAAGUAUAAACGCUUUAUACUGUGAAACUGCGAAUGGCUCAUUAUAUCAGUUAUAGACUAUUCAAUAAUCUCUUACUACUUGGAUAACCGUAGUAAUUCUAGAGCUAAUACGUGCGUAAAUCCCGACUCCUGGAAGGGACGUAUUUAUUAGAUUUAAGGCCAACCGAGCUUGCUCGUCUCUUGGUGAAUCAUGAUAACUUCACGAAUCGCAUGGCCUCGCGCCGGCGAUAUUUCAUUCAAAUUUCUGCCCUAUCAAUUGGCGAUGGUAGGAUAGAGGCCUACCAUGGUGUUAACGGGUGACGGGGGAUUAGGGUUCGAUUCCGGAGAGGCAGCCUGAGAAACGGCUACCACAUCCAAGGAAGGCAGCAGG
rnacentral:rRNA from 1 species